GUGGGGAAUCUUCCGCAAUGGACGAAAGUCUGACGGAGCAACGCCGCGUGAGUGAAGAAGGUUUUCGGAUCGUAAAGCUCUUUCGUUAGGGACGAACGUGCCCUUUGUGAAUAAUGAGGAGUAAUGACGGUACCUAAAUAAGAAGCCACGGCUAACUACGUGCCAGCAGCCGCGGUAAUACGUAGGUGGCAAGCGUUGUCCGGAAUUAUUGGGCGUAAAGCGCGCGCAGGCGGGAUAUCAAGUCUGUCUUAAAAGUGCGAGGCUCAACGUCGUGAGGGGACAGAAACUGGUAUUCUUGAGUGUCGGAGAGGAAAGUGGAAUUCCAAGUGUAGCGGUGAAAUGCGUAGAGAUUUGGAAGAACACCAGUGGCGAAGGCGACUUUCUGGACGAUGUCUGACGCUGAGGCGCGAAAGCUAGGGGAGCGAACGGGAUUAGAUACCCGAGUAGUCC
rnacentral:rRNA from 1 species